rnacentral:rRNA from 1 species
GGACGAACGCUGGCGGCGUGCUUAACACAUUCAAGUCGAACGCUGAAGCUUGGUGCUUGCACUGGGUGGAUGAGUGGCGAACGGGUGAGUAAUACGUGAGUAACCUGCCCUUGACUCUGGGAUAAGCCUGGGAAACUGGGUCUAAUACUGGAUAUGACAUGCCACUGCAUGGUGGUGUGUGGAAAGGGUUUUACUGGUUUUGGAUGGGCUCACGGCCUAUCAGCUUGUUGGUGGGGUAAUGGCCUACCAAGGCGACGACGGGUAGCCGGCCUGAGAGGGUGACCGGCCACACUGGGACUGAGACACGGCCCAGACUCCUACGGGAGGCAGCAGUGGGGAAUAUUGCACAAUGGGCGGAAGCCUGAUGCAGCGACGCCACGUGAGGGAUGACGGCCUUCGGGUUGUAAACCUCUUUCAGCACGGAAGAAGCGAGAGUGACGGUACGUGCAGAAGAAGCGCCGGCUAACUACGUG